UACGGAGGGAGCUAGCGUUAUUCGGAAUUACUGGGCGUAAAGCGCACGUAGGCGGCUUUGUAAGUAAGAGGUGAAAGCCUGGUGCUCAACACCAGAACUGCCUUUUAGACUGCAUCGCUUGAAUCCAGGAGGAGGUGAGUGGAAUUCCGAGUGUAGAGGUAGAAAUUCGUAGAUAUUCGGAAGAACACCAGUGGCGAAGGCGGCUCACUGGACUGGUAUUGACGCUGAGGUGGCGAAAAGCGUGGGGAGCAAACAGG
rnacentral:rRNA from 1 species